UACGAAGGGGGCUAGCGUUGCUCGGAAUCACUGGGCGUAAAGGGUGCGUAGGCGGGUCUUUAAGUCAGGGGUGAAAUCCUGGAGCUCAACUCCAGAACUGCCUUUGAUACUGAGGAUCUUGAGUUCGGGAGAGGUGAGUGGAACUGCGAGUGUAGAGGUGAAAUUCGUAGAUAUUCGCAAGAACACCAGUGGCGAAGGCGGCUCACUGGGCCGAUUCUGACACUGAGGAGCGAAAGCGUGGGGAGCGAACAGG
rnacentral:rRNA from 1 species